rnacentral:tRNA from 1 species
GGCCCCGUGGCUCAACUGGAUAGAGCAGUCCCCUCCUAAGGGACAGGUUACUGGUUCGAAUCCAGUCGGGGUCACCA